AUCUGGCUGUGUAAUCUGUCAUUUCAUUGAUCACCAGGGUUGAUUCAACUGAUCUAGCUGACUAGGCAGAUCUGU
rnacentral:snRNA from 1 species